ACUGAAACAUCUAAGUACCCGGAGGAGAAGAAAACAAAAGUGAUUCCGAUAGUAGCGGCGAGCGAAAUCGGAUUAGUCCAAACUAAAGUUGUUACGGCAAUUUUGGGGUUGUAGGACCACGUUAUUGAAUGUUUUAUGAAUUAGAAUUCUUUGGAAAAAGAAACCAUAGAGGGUGAUAGUCCCGUAUAAGUAAAGACAAUUAUUCAUAGUGGUAUCCUGAGUAGUGCGGGACACGAGUAAUCCUGUAUGAAUCAAGCGGGACCAUCCGCUAAGACUAAAUACUCCUGAGACACCGAUAGUGAACUAGUACCGUGAGGGAAAGGUGAAAAGAACCUUGAAUAAAGGAGUGAAAUAGAUCCUGAAACCAUACGCUUACAAGCGGUCGGAGCCAUUCGUGGUGACGGCGUGCCUUUUGCAUAAUGAGCCUACGAGUUACCGUUUCUAGCAAGGUUAAGUACUUCAGGUACGGAUCCGUAGCGAAAGCGAGUCUGAAUAGGGCGAUUUAGUUAGUGGCGGUAGACGCGAAACCGUGUGAUCUACCCAUGGGCAGGGUGAAGCUGUAGUAACAUACAGUGGAGGCCCGAACCGAUAUACGUUGAAAAGUGUUCGGAUGACCUGUGGGUAGGGGUGAAAGGCCAAUCAAACUCGGAAAUAGCUCGUACUCCCCGAAAUGCAUUUAGGUGCAGCGUUGAUUUAUAGUUUUAUAGAGGUAGAGCUACUGAUUGGAUGCGGGGGCUUCACC
rnacentral:rRNA from 1 species